CACGUAGUUAGCCGGGGCUUCUUAGUCAGGUACCGUCAUUUUCUUCCCUGCUGAUAGAGCUUUACAUACCGAAAUACUUCUUCACUCACGCGGCGUCGCUGGAUCAGGGUUCCCCCCAUUGUCCAAUAUUCCCCACUGCUGCCUCCCGUAGGAGUUUGGGCCGUGUCUCAGUCCCAAUGUGGCCGAUCACCCUCUCAGGUCGGCUACUGAUCGUCGCCUUGGUAGGCCUUUACCCCACCAACUAGCUAAUCAGACGCGGGUCCAUCUUGCACCACCUCAGUUUUUACCCCUGUACCAUGCGGUACUGUGGUCUUAUGCGGUAUUAGCAGUCGUUUCCAACUGUUGUCCCCCUGUGCAAGGUAGGUUACCCACGCGUUACUCACCCGUCCGCCAUUCAGUCUGUUAUUCUUCCACCCGAAGGUCUCCAAACAACAGCUUCGUUCGACUUGCAUGUGUUAAGCACGCCGCCAGCGUUCAUCCUGAGCCAGGAUCAAACUCU
rnacentral:rRNA from 1 species